UCAGACGAUGCGUCAUGCAUAUCAAUAAGCGGAGGAAAAGAAACUAACAAGGAUUCCCUCAGUAACGGCGAGUGAAGCGGGAAGAGCUCAAAUUUGAAAUCUUGAAAGGUCACCUUUCACGAAUUGUAGUUUAAAGAAGUGUUUUCUGUUACGAUCGUAAUAUAAGUUCCUUGGAAUAGGACAUCACAGAGGGUGAGAAUCCCGUCUAUGAUUGCGAUUUGUAGCUUUGUGAUACACUUUCAAAGAGUCGGGUUGUUUGGGAAUGCAGCCCAAAACGGGAGGUAAAUUUCUUCUAAGGCUAAAUAUUGGCGAGAGACCGAUAGCGAACAAGUACCGUGAGGGAAAGAUGAAAAGAACUUUGAAAAGAGAGUUAAAUAGUACGUGAAAUUGUCAAAAGGGAAGCGUUUAACACCAGUGUUGUUUUCUGAAAAUCAACCUCUGUUAGCUUUAUGCAUGUUUGUUUAGACCUAAUCAGCUAUCUUGCAUGUUCUAUUGUUUGCAGUGGUGCACUUUUCAGUUUACAGGUCAACAUCAGUUUUUUUUACCGUAAAAAAGUUAAAGAAAGGUAGCUCAUGGCUCCGGUCGUGAGUGUUAUAGUCCUCUUCCUAUGCGGUAGGAGAGACUGAGGUCUGCAGUGUAGGCUAUUUGGCUAGAUACUCAGGUGCUAUGUGGAUACCAUUUCAUAAACAACUUGUUGAUUAUGUUUUGUCUAUUGCAUACUCGCUUGUACUAUCAUACCUACGCUUAGGAUGUUGAAGACUCUACAGAGAUA
rnacentral:rRNA from 1 species